GGGCGCGCGCGCCGGUGCGGAUGCGUGCGUGAGCGUGCGCGCCUCCGCCGCAUCUGCCGGUGCCGCUCCCGCGCCCUCUGCCGCUGCCCCCGCCGCCGCCCCCGCCGCCGCCGCCCCCGCCGUUUCCGCCCGGGGUCCCUGAGGCGCAACCCCGGCUGAGGAGCGCACCGGCCGGCUGCCACCAGCGUCGCGGAGCAGAGCGGGCGGGCGGACGGGCGCGCGGACAGACUAGCCUACCAUGGCCGACCAGCGGCAGCGCUCACUCUCUACCUCUGGGGAAUCGCUGUACCAUGUUCUCGGGCUGGACAAGAACGCAACCUCAGACGACAUUAAGAAGUCCUACCGGAAACUGGCCCUGAAAUAUCACCCGGACAAGAACCCUGACAACCCAGAGGCUGCAGACAAGUUCAAGGAGAUCAACAACGCGCACACCAUCCUCACGGACGCCACGAAGAGGAACAUCUACGACAAGUACGGCUCCCUGGGGCUCUACGUGGCCGAGCAGUUUGGGGAGGAGAACGUGAACACCUACUUCGUGCUGUCCAGCUGGUGGGCAAAGGCCCUGUUUGUCUUCUGCGGGCUCCUCACCUGCUGCUACUGCUGCUGCUGCCUGUGCUGCUGCUUCAACUGCUGCUGCGGGAAGUGCAAGCCCAAGGCGCCCGAGGGCGAGGAGACCGAGUUCUACGUGUCCCCCGAGGACCUGGAGGCGCAGCUGCAGUCGGACGAGCGGGGAGGGCACUGACAUGGGCCAGGAUGUGUGUGGCAGCUGGGCCCGUUGAGGUUGAACGUGGACUCGGAGAGGCCACAGACACGCCGAUUGUCAUACAGCCAGCGUCCGCCACAGAGACCACCCAGCUCACGGCCGAGUCCCACCCCAGCUACCACACCGACGGGUUCAAUUAAGUUCGGGAGACGCUGUGAUGUGCGGAUCAAUCAGCACUGGCCACUUCGACCUUCGCAUCAUGAACUGUAGUCACAGAGGCGGGAGGGAGCCGCUCUGGCCCGGGAAGGACCCUCCGCCUCUGUGCCCGCCCACCCGCCAACCCCAACACGUGAAGUGCGUAGCAUGCAGUAUUUAAAGCAGUUUAGCUACGGUCGCCGUCUUCUGUUUUUCCUUUCUAAUAGCAUGUGUGGGGUCCGUUCCAUGUCUGUCUGUGUUGUGGACGUGCUGCAGCGAGACCGCACUGAGCAAUGGCGGCACCGCCUGGGCUGUCAGGCCGCCGCCAUGAGCUGGCCGCGUGGGGUGGUGUCCCCGCAGUGGAGGGGCCGCCCCGCCCGUGCCCCUGGGCCGGGGCAGGCGCUGCCUGCACAGCUGGGGUCUGUCCAGCGGGGCCUGUGUCCUGUCAGUCCCCGGGGGUUGGUAGCAAGGACAGUUCUUCAGCUGCUGCUCGCCUUGUGUGCAUGGCCUGGUGACGGGCUUUUCGGGAGGAAUGUGUUUGGGGACUGUGGGAGCUCCUGAUCUGCGACCUCAGCCUGGAUCCAGCCUGAGCCCCCGUGCCACGAGCUGGGCCGAUGGCCACCACCAGCGUCUCCCCUCUCCUUUCUCUGAGUCAGCCUCCACGUCCCUCCAGGCCCUGUGGCCUCUUGGUAACCAUUUUGGAUGUCGAAGCACCACAGUAGCAGCCGCAGCCCAGGUCGCCAGUCAGGCCGAGUCCAGGCUGCAGGUGGCGCCUGGCUGCCCAGCCUCCUCUCUGCUUUCUGAGCCCCUGUCCCCCUCUUCCUGCAACUGCUCAGCCAGAGCCCUCAGGGUCCUGAGGAGGUCGCGGGGUCAGAGGCACACUUGGCAUGGGAGAGGUGGCCCCGGGGGCCUGGCGCCCUUGGCUUGUCAGCCAGCAGCCGGACCAGGAUCUCGCUGCUGCUGCUGCUGCUGCUGCUGCUGCUGGGGGCAGAGCCUUUUGUGAACUGCUGCACGUCCGUCCUCCUUUCCGGCCCAGGCCUGGUGGGUGGUGCCCUGCUUCAGGGACUGAGGAGAUGUGGGUUACGAUGUACCAAAUAGCAGGUUCCCUGCUGGCCCUACACCAGCUUCUGGAGGCUCAUGGGGCCCAUGUGGGCCUGAGUCUGCAGAAUGAAUGUAUUCGCUGCUCCUGUGCCGCUGCAUCCCCAGGAGAGUGAAGGACAAACGGGAGCGCUGGGCGACAUGGUUCCCUGGCUCAGACAAACCAGACAUGUUCCUGAAGCCACGUCCUCCCCUGUGGCCCUUGCUGCCCGCCAGGCUGUGCUAGCCAGAGCUGGCGGGGGGGGGGCUGGCCACUGGCAGAACCCUCCGUCCUAGGACCGUCCAGGCUGGCCCUCCUGCAGGCCAGCCUAGGUCCUGGGCAGCUGCUUGGUCCCAUUUUGUUUUUUGCUCAUUGUGGUUAGUGAUCAUGAAGAUGUCCAAGGAGAGGGUAUCUCUGCAUUGUGAUGUUGGGUUAGAACUAAUUUGCUAAAACCAGGCCUCUCCUGAAAGGACAAGAAACUCAUUGUUUGGCCCACCGGGCAACGAGGGAGGCGGUGAGACCAGGCUAUCCCUGUGCCGCCCGUUCGGAGCCUGCGUGGUGGCCGCCGUCCCCGGGAGUGCUCUGGGAAUGGUUUGGGCAGUGAGUGCUGUUCCCCAGAACGAUCCAGAACCCGGCUAAAACCUCCGCCCAGCCAGGCCCUCCAUGUGUGUCCCCGAGUCCCUGCCAGGUGCUGUGGUGGCCUCUCCGAGGCUAAAACCAGCUGAUGGUGACGGUGCUGGGGACCGCGGGUGGCCCGAGGGCAGGCCCUUCCAGAGUGUGACUGGUUGCUUUCAAGGCGAAGGUCCUGGUGCGUGUCCUCUGCUUGCCUGGCCUGUUUGGUGAGCAGAGUUCUCGAGCCUGGAGAGACGCUGGUCCUGCUAAGUGGGGGCAGCCCUGUGCCUUCCAGAGCUGGGCUGGGGGGCCAGUGCUGGUGUCAGACGGCAAGUGGUGUGUGUGGCCCAGGGUGUUGGGGUCUGUGUGAGAGGAAGCCCAUCCGAUUUGCUAAGGGGGCUGGCCUGCCGGGCAGCCAGUGCUGUGGGCGCCCUGAGGGUCCGGCAGCAGGCCCGGUCCCUGCAGGAAGCAUGUCUGACUGCAGCUCUUGUUGUGUAGGUUUCUCUUCUGCUCAGUGCCGUGUCUCGCCUUGUCUUCCUUUUGGCUCUGUUCUCAUUUCAAACUGCUUUAGAUAUUACACUCGGUAUGUGAGCCUCCCUCGCUGUCCCAUCCGUCCAUACAGCUGCCCCGCUGGGAUCUGGUACAGGAAGAGGUCAGAGUGGCUGUGGCUGGAGCAGGCAGUGUCUCCGGGCUGUCAGCCGCUGGGUGUCACGGCCAGGCUCCUGCCAGGACCAUCCUCGGUGUUCUAGCGCCGGCCGUCUGUGCCCAAGAAGCCCACACAGUGCUGCCGGCAUCGGGGCAUGCUCGGCCUCCCGCCACCAGGCUCUCGGGAGGGGCGGGGAAAGGGGCCUGUCUGUCCUUCCUGGCUCUCAUCUCGGCUCAUCUUCCCGGGGCGAUGGUGACGGGGGUGAGCCAGGUGGUGAUCUCAUUCCUUCCUGUAUUCUUAGCUGUGAGCCCGUGCGACCCAGGACUGACCUGCUUGCUUUGUUACUUUGGCUGUGAACCUUCCGCCUAUGGAAUUGGCGAAAGCUACAUUUUUACAGUCCUGCCAGGCACGGUUAGUGCCGUCUGUGCUGCAGGUGUGGACAGUGGUGUAUCUCCGUGUGUGUACAUAUGUGUAUGUAUAUAUCGUGCAGCAGGCCGCCUGCUGCUGUCCAGGGGCAGUGCAGCAAGUACAAUAAAGGUUGGCUCCAAACAGCCUGCUUCUGGGCGAGGCCGGGCGGGGGGUCCUGAGAGCCCUUCUGCUGGCUGCUCAGGGACAGCGCCGACGCCACCGCACACCUAGAGUUUGGGCAGGUGCCGGGCGUGUGCCUGAGCCACUGCAGUGUCGGCUUUUCGGGGCGGGUGCCCAUCACAGUCACACGUCCUGUGUGACAUCUGGGCGGUGUAGAAACCCAUUCCACUUUGGAACAUGUAAAACCAAUUUUCUAAGCAUCAGAUACAAUCAGUGACCAACUGCGUCCACAGUCUCUGUGGGACCACAGAUGGGCCCAGGGCUGCGGAGCGGAGCAGGGCCACGCCGCCCCUCCAGGAAGAGCGAGCGGCCUGGGCCUGGCCACACCUUAGGCUUUGUUUCCCUGGAGGACGGACUCAUGUUUCACACUAAGGGAGGGAGGCGGUUUGCACUGAACUGUAUUGACGGUUUUUAAAACUUAAGUGCGAUGUGUGGGAAGCAUUGUCCGCACUGGCUUUGUCCUGGGAGCAGACCUGGCGGAGCCGGGGUGCCUCAGAGUGGAUGAGGGCCAGGUGGGAGGGUUAGGAUGUUCCCCACAGUGACCUCCAUCUUGUAUGUCUGAAUGUUGACCUAGAAUAAAGAUAACUGUUGUAAAAUAAAUGUUUUCACUGCA